UCUCCAAAUCAGUCCCAAAUUCGUGUUAAUUCAGAAGGUUCGAGUAGAUUCAUACUCUUGCACAAAAGCUUAAAAACAUGGUUGAGACAUCUAAAUCAGAGGACUAGGUGCUCCAAGCUAAAUCACCCACCAAACUUACUCUCGGAACUUCAAGUCAAGACUUGUAAACCGUUAAUUGUUGAAGUAUGGACUAAAGAUGAA
rnacentral:lncRNA from 1 species